AUAACAUAUGUCUGUAACCCUAGCUUGGUUCUAAAUCCCACGGUGCCUUCUCCUUGGGAAAAACAGAGAAGGCACUGUGGGAUUUAGAACCAAGUUAGGACUAAAGAUUCAGAUUACCU
rnacentral:pre_miRNA from 8 species